rnacentral:rRNA from 1 species
AAGACACCUAGCGUAGCCACACCCCCACGGGAUCCAGCAGUAAUUAACAUUAAGCAAUGAGAGCCCUAUUAAUUUCAAAGCUCGACUUAGUUAUAGUAUGCAGGGCCGGUAAAUUUCGUGCCAGCCACCGCGGUUAUACGAAAGGCCCAAAAUAAUAACCCUCGGCGUAAAACGUGACUAGAGACACAACCUUCAAAUGAAAUUUAAACCUGAAUUAAGUUAUAAAACACUCAAGUACAUCAGAAAAUCUAACCAAUUUCAACAAAAGCCAUCUCUUGACGCACUAAAGCCAAGACACAAACUGGGAUUAGAUACCCUACUAUGCUUGGCCAUAAACCUAGGCAUCAAACAAUACACCAUGCCCGCCAGAGUACUACAAGUGAAAAACUUAAAACUCAAAGGACUUGACGGUGGCCCACAUCAACCUAGAGGAGCCUGUCCUAUAAUCGAUACCCCACGAAAUACCUCACCCCUUCUAGCAUAACAGUCUAUAUACCGCCGUCGCCAGCUUACCUUAUGAAAGCUUUAAAGUAAGCAAAAUAUGUCCCCCACAAAAACGUCAGGUCAAGGUGUAGCACAUGAACGGGCAAGAGAUGGGCUACAUUUUCUAAAAAGAAAAUACUAGCAGCACCAUGAAAAAGUGCAAAACGGUGGAUUUAGCA